GGGGCAUCGGGAAGAAAGCUUGCUUUCUUUGCUGGCGACCGGCGCACGGGUGAGUAACACGUAUCCAACCUGCCCUUUACUCGGGGAUAGCCUUUCGAAAGAAAGAUUAAUACCCGAUAGCAUAAUGAUUCCGCAUGGUUUCAUUAUUAAAGGAUUCCGGUAAAGGAUGGGGAUGCGUUCCAUUAGGUUGUUGGUGAGGUAACGGCUCACCAAGCCUUCGAUGGAUAGGGGUUCUGAGAGGAAGGUCCCCCACAUUGGAACUGAGACACGGUCCAAACUCCUACGGGAGGCAGCAGUGAGGAAUAUUGGUCAAUGGGCGUUAGCCUGAACCAGCCAAGUAGCGUGAAGGAUGAAGGCUCUAUGGGUCGUAAACUUCUUUUAUAUAAGAAUAAAGUGCAGUAUGUAUACUGUUUUGUAUGUAUUAUAUGAAUAAGGAUCGGCUAACUCCGUGCCAGCAGCCGCGGUAAUACGGAGGAUCCGAGCGUUAUCCGGAUUUAUUGGGUUUAAAGGGAGCGUAGGUGGACUGGUAAGUCAGUUGUGAAAGUUUGCGGCUCAACCGUAAAAUUGCAGUUGAUACUGUCAGUCUUGAGUACAGUAGAGGUGGGCGGAAUUCGUGGUGUAGCGGUGAAAUGCUUAGAUAUCACGAAGAACUCCGAUUGCGAAGGCAGCUCACUGGACUGCAAC
rnacentral:rRNA from 1 species